UUAGGUGGUUAUAGCGAUGGGGUUCCACCUCUUACCAUACCGAACAGAGAAGUUAAGCCCAUCAGCGCCGAUGGUACUGCGAAAGCGGAAGAGUAGGUCGCCGCCAUUU
rnacentral:rRNA from 1 species